GUGAGUUUAACACUUCAUGACUGACACAGCAACAAAAACAGCAACUACAAUGACAUUGAUCAUAUUCUUCUUGAUCUUAGGGAUGUAUUUUCAAGACUCUGCAGGACAGGUGACUGUGAUUCAGACUCCAACAGAGAAACAUGUUCAGAACGGACAAACAGUGACUCUGACCUGUAAAACCAGCAGCUCUAUUGGACGCCAGUCAGACGGUUGGUGUGGGUCAUGUCUCUCCUGGUACCUACAGAAACCUGGAGAAGCUCCUAAACUAUUAGUUCACAGCAUUAAAACACUCCAUUCAGGAACUCCAUCAAGAUUCAGUGGAAAUGGAGCUGACCGUGGAACUGAUUUCUCUCUGACCAUCAGUGGAGUCCAGACUGAAGAUACAGGAGAUUAUUACUGUAUGGCUAUAAACUAUAUCAGUAAUAGCUGGGUGUUCACACAGUGAUAAAGAGUCGUACAAAAAGCUGUGAGUCAGAGUCACAGAGACUGCACUGAUACAGCUGAGAGAUACUGCAGCUGCUCUACAACACAAUCACACACAACACUGAUCAGAGAACACACACUCAUAACACAAAAUAAAUAGAUGGUGAAGUUUAUUGUUAUAAAUAUGGCAAUGCUUUACUUUAGAUGUCCUAUCCCUUUACCCAUUAAAUCCUGCGUAAAUUGUAAAUUCCCAAAAAGUAAUGUUUAUAAGAAAAAUAUACAUACGUAAAACUUUCAGCCUUAGUCUCUAGCUUCCACUAACUACAGUACACUCGUUCACAGUAGAAAGACGUUCCAGCAGAUAACUUUAUUUUAAGGUGUCCAUAAUACAGACUAAUUACAGUAAGUACUUAGUAGAAGCUUAGUAGUACUUACAUGAAACAAAAUGUACUGAUCAUGUACCUAAGUUGUGGAACAGCUUGCACUUACACUUUGCAAUUAUGUAGAUGUAACAGACAGCUACUGUUACACAUAUGUUACAGGCCAAGUCUGUUACACGACUAUCUGCGUGUGUCGGUAUGGCCUACCUUUCUGCUGACUGAUGUUGCUACUCAUGUUGCAGUAAAGUAGGGUUUGUAAGACCCCUUGGGCCUUGUCUAGACUAUACUUAAAGUAUUAAAAGUCUGCUAAACUGGAACAACUCAUUUUGUACUUAAUGCACUUUAAUUGUGCAGAUGUAGUGCUGAAAUCUGACUAAAGAUUUGAAAAUCUAAAAACGUACUGUAAAUAAAGUUUUUUGCA